AGAGAGAGAGAGAGAAGAGAGAGAGAGAGAGAGAGAGAGAGAGAGAGAGAGAGAGAGAGAGAGAGAGAGGAGAGAGAGAGAGAGAGAGAGAGAUCUGGUUAGUAUUGUACAGAGUGAAGACUUUUAGGAGUUUCCUAAAGAGAGAAGAAAUCUGCUGCCAUCUCACUGUGGUCUGAAUUUUGAAACUUCCCUGAGACACACGAGAUCUCCCGCGUUACACACCUCCCUAUAGAAGUGAUAAUAAAAGGCACAGGUCAUGUAGAAAAGCUGAAACACACUUCCUGUUAAUCGCUAAUUAGUUCAGGAGCUCGACACAUUGCACUGACUGAUCAUCUCCAACCAUUCACUUAUUUACAACAAACUCAGAGUUAUACAGUUUCUACAACAAGAUUCCAAUCAUCCUGAAACCCGGUAUAAACACUAAACAGGUAUAAACACUAACCAGGUAUAAACCCUAACCAGGAAUAUAAACCCUAACCAGGAAUAUAAACACUAACCAGGAAUAAACUCUAACCAGGAAUAAACUCUAACCAGGUAUAAACUCUAAACAGGUAUAUAAACUCUAAACAGGAAUAAACACUAACCAGGAAUAAACUCUAACCAGGUAUAAACUCUAACCAGGUAUAAACACUAACCAGGUAUAAACUCUAACCAGGAAUAUAAACCCUAACCAGGAAUAUAAACUCUAAACAGGAAUAAACACUAACCAGGAAUAAACUCUAACCAGGUAUGAACUCUAACCAGGUAUGAACUCUAACCAGGUAUGAACUCUAACCAGGUAUAAACCCUAACCAGGUAUAAACACUAACCAGGAAUAAACUCUAACCAGGUAUGAACUCUAACCAGGAAUAUAAACACUAACCAGGAAUAUAAACACUAACCAGGUAAUAACCAGGUAAAUAAACCUAACCAGGAAUAUAAACCCUAACCAGGAAUAUAAACUCUAACCAGGAAUAUAAACCCUAACCAGGUAUAAACUCUAACCAGGAAUAUAAACUCUAACCAGGAAUAUAAACACUAACCAGGAAUAUAAACACUAACCAGAAAUAUAAACACUAACCAGGAAUAAACUCUAACCAGGUAUGAACUCUAACCAGGAAUAUAAACCCUAACCAGGUAUAAACACUAACCAG